rnacentral:rRNA from 1 species
UACAGAGGGGGCAAGCGUUAUUCGGAAUUAUUGGGCGUAAAGAGCUCGUAGGCGGUUUGUUGCGUCGGCCGUGAAAACCUGCAGCUUAACUGUGGGCCUGCGGCCGAUACGGGCAGACUUGAGUUCGGUAGGGGAGACUGGAAUUCCUGGUGUAGCGGUGAAAUGCGCAGAUAUCAGGAGGAACACCGGUGGCGAAGGCGGGUCUCUGGGCCGAUACUGACGCUGAGGAGCGAAAGCGUGGGGAGCGAACAGG